rnacentral:rRNA from 1 species
UACGAAGGGGGCUAGCGUUGUUCGGAUUUACUGGGCGUAAAGCGCACGUAGGCGGAUUGUUAAGUCGGGGGUGAAAUCCUGGAGCUCAACUCCAGAAUUGCCUUCGAUACUGGCUUUCUAGAGGCUGGAAGAGGUUAGUGGAAUUCCCAGUGUAGAGGUGAAAUUCGUAGAUAUUGGGAAGAACACCAGUGGCGAAGGCGGCUAACUGGUCCAGAUCUGACGCUGAGGUGCGAAAGCGUGGGGAGCAAACAGGAUUAAGAAACCCG